rnacentral:rRNA from 1 species
GACGAACGCUGGCGGCGCGCCUAACACAUGCAAGUCGAACGGAGCUUUGAGAGCUUGCUUUUAAAGCUUAGUGGCGAACGGGUGAGUAACGCGUGAGUAACCUGCCCUGGAGUGGGGGACAACAGUUGGAAACGACUGCUAAUACCGCAUAAGCCCACGGCCCGGCAUCGGGCUGAGGGAAAAGGAUUUAUUCGCUUCAGGAUGGACUCGCGUCCAAUUGGCUAGUUGGUGAGGUAACGGCCCACCAAGGCGACGAUUGGUAGCCGGACUGAGAGGUUGAACGGCCACAUUGGGACUGAGACACGGCCCAGACUCCUACGGGAGGCAGCAGUGGGGGAUAUUGCACAAUGGGGGAAACCCUGAUGCAGCGACGCCGCGUGGAGGAAGAAGGUUUUCGGAUUGUAAACUCCUGUCGUUAGGGACGAUAAUGACGGUACCUAACAAGAAAGCACCGGCUAACUACGUGCCAGCCGCCGCGGUAA